rnacentral:rRNA from 1 species
UACGGAGGGUGCAAACGUUGCUCGGAAUCAUUGGGCGUAAAGCGCACGUAGGCGGACUGUUAAGUCGGAUGUGAAAGCCCUCAGCUUAACUGAGGAAGUGCAUUCGAAACUGGCAGUCUUGAGUAUGGAAGAGGGUCGCGGAAUUCCCGGUGUAGAGGUGAAAUUCGUAGAUAUCGGGAGGAACACCAGUGGCGAAGGCAGCCCCCUGGGAUGUGACUGACGCUCAUGUACGAAAGCGUGGGGAGCAAACAGG